AUGGUGGGGUGGGGGGUCCCACCGAGAGACAACCCCCCCCCCGGCGAGCGCGCCUGUCCCGUUUCCAUCGCGAGGCAGGGAAAGGAUCUCAAAGCGAUCUGAUCUCGGAGCAGAGCGAGAGAAAGAAGGACCGAGAUCUAAAGUUCUUGAUCCACUCGGCAGGGAGCGCCGCCGCCGUGGAUGCCCCUGAUGUCGAUGCCACCGCUGAGGCCGCCGCUCCCGCCGCCAUCUUCCUGGUGUAGUGCCGAAAGCCCGGAUGCGAGAACGGCGGGCCCGAGGUGUGACCAGUGACUGAAGAUUUGGAAGGUUGCCAGUGAACUGCUCUGGGGAAGGGGAAGGGGAAGGGGCUUCUGGGAAGAAGAAAGAGGAAGAAAGUCUGAGAUCCAUCUUGGUGAGGGAGAAGAAACAGCUGCCUGCAAUGCUUUGGGUCAUGCAAUAACAUUUGAACCCGGUUCACGCAGACUGAGAGCGUAAAUGGACAAAUAAACCUUAUUUCUUAAAACA